ensembl:lncRNA
UUUUUUUUUUUUGUCUAUACUCCCUGUUUGCAAAUCCAAAUAUCAGUCCUAUAUAAAAUCUGAAGGAUCACUAUAUCAGUAAUUAAUUUGUAAAGAUCUGAUAAUAAAAAGAGAAUUUAUCUGAAGUCUACCUACAUGUUUUUUUGGGGCCACUGCCACACCCACCACCAACAUUCAAAAGAUGCAGGCAGCAUUCAGCCCCUGAGUUGCUGAUAACAACAGCUUCUCUGUACUGAUGAAAACUAGUUUCAUGACCCACCUUGAACUAAAACCAGUUAAACCUAAGCUCAGUAUCUAAAGAUGAUACCAAAGGAAGUAGUUAGUAGUUCUUCAAGAUGUCUAGUAUCUCCCAUAGUAAAUACUACUAUAGAGACACUUUCAUAAGCUUUCCUUCUGACAGUUACUUUCUUUUUUUUUAGAGCUACACCUUCUGCAUAUAGAAAUUCCCAGGCCGGAGGUCUCAAAGGAGCUAUAGCUGCCGGCCUAUACCACAGCCAUAGCAACACCAGAUCCAGCUGCGUCUACAAUCUACACCAGAGUUCUCAGCAACACCAGAUCCCUGACCCGCCAAAAGAGGCCAGGGAUCGAACACUCAUCUUCAGGGAUACUAGUUGGGUUUGUUAUCGCUAAGCCAGGACAGGAACUCCCCCCCCCCGUUUUUUUUUUUCUGACAGUUACUUUUUAAAGAACUUCAAGAGCAGGAGAAAAAAACAAAUACAUUUCCUGUUAGUAAAUCCUGGUCUAAGUUUUAAGCUGAAAAGUUUAAAUUAACAAAAUAAAAUUCUGUGAACCCUACCCAGAUUGAAAAUUGAAUCUAUAUAAUUUUGGUUAAAGGCCUUUAUACCUGGUUUUCAUUUCGUUUUGUUUCCCAUAAAGGCCAGGUCCUCAUGGGUAACAUGAAAAUCAAUUAAACGUGAAAACAUACCAAAAUAGAGUUUCCAUCGUGGCUCAGUGGGAACAAAUUUGACUAGCAUUCAUGAGGACAAAGGUUCAAUCCCUGGCCUUGCUCAGUGGGUUAAGAAUUCGGCAUUGCCAGGAGCUGUGGUGUAGGUCGCAGACGUGGCUCAGAUCCUGUGUUGCUGUGGCUGGGGUGUAAAUCAGCAGCUGCAGCUUCAAUUCACCCCCUAGCCUGGAACUUCCAUAUGCCUCGGGUGUGGCCCUAAAAAAGACACACACACACAAAAAAAUACCGCAAUGGUUGAAUGGAUGGAAAUUAUUCUAUCAUGAGGUAAGACAAAGAAUGGGAAUUUAGGGAGACCUCAGAAUUCCCCUGAACAGGGAGGGGCUAAUUAUGAAGGACAAGUUAGAAAAGACGAGAGUAAAUGGUGAGAUGAGUAUCAGUUAUGGAGGACACCUGGUUCUACAAGAGACAGGUCCUAUCUACCUUGUCGCUGUUCACCUGAAACUUGACAGAGCUGUGUACCUUGGUGUAACUUGGAUGUUAAUAAGCUUCAUUUUACCAAGAUUUUCAACACAAGAAAGUGUAGUUCUUGGAGUUCCCGUCGUGGCGCAGUGGUUAAUGAAUCCGACUAGGAACCAUGAGGUUGCGGGUUCAGUCCCUGCCCUUGCUCAGUGGGUUAACGAUCCGGCGUUGCCGUGAGCUGUGGUGUAGGUUGCAGACGCGGCUCGGAUCCCCCGUUGCUUUGGCUCUGGCGUAGGCUGGUGGCUACAGCUCCGAUUCGACCCCUAGCCUGGGAACCUCCAUAUGCCGCAGGAGCGGCCCAAGAAAUAGCAACAACAACAACAAAAAAAAAAAGAAAAAAAGAAAAAAAGAAAAAA